AGUGAACGCUGGCGGUAGGCCUAACACAUGCAAGUCGAACGGCAGCACAGAGGAGCUUGCUCCUUGGGUGGCGAGUGGCGGACGGGUGAGGAAUACAUCGGAAUCUACUCUGUCGUGGGGGAUAACGUAGGGAAACUUACGCUAAUACCGCAUACGACCCACGGGUGAAAGCAGGGGAUCUUCGGACCUUGCGCGAUUGAAUGAGCCGAUGUCGGAUUAGCUAGUUGGCGGGGUAAAGGCCCACCACGGCGACGAUCCGUAGCUGGUCUGAGCGGAUGAUAAGCCAGAGUGGAACUGAGACACGGGCCAGAGUCCUAAAGGGGGAAGGAGUGGGGAAUAUUGGACAAAGGGCGCAGGCCUGAUCCAGCCAUACCGGGUGGGGGAAGAAGGACUUCGGGUUGGAAAGCCCUUUUGUUGGGAAAGAAAUCCAUCUGGUUAAUACCCGGGUGGGAUGACGGUACCCAAAGAAUAAGCACCGGCUAACUUCGUGCCAGCAGCCGCCGUAA
rnacentral:rRNA from 1 species